rnacentral:rRNA from 1 species
GAUGAACGCUGGCGGCGUGCCUAAUACAUGCAAGUCGAACGAACGAGCGAGAACCUUUCUUCUCGGAUUGUAGCGGCGGACGGGUGGUUAACACGUGGAUAGCCUACCUAUACGACUGUGAUGACUUCGGGAAGCCGUAGCUGCUACCAGAUGAUAUUUUGAACCUGAUGGUUCAAAAGUGAGAGAAGGUCUUUCUUUCACUUAUAGAUGGAUCCGCGCUGCAUUAGCUAGUUGGUAAGGUAACGGCUUACCAAGGCAACGAUGAAUAGCCGCCCUGAGAGGGUGAUCGGCAACACUGUAACUGCGACAAGGCCCACACUACUACGGGAGGAAGCAGUAGGGAAUCUUACGGCAGGAGCGAAAGCAUGACGGAGCAACGACGCGUGAGUGAUGAAGGUCUUCGGAUCGUAAAGCUCUGUUAUCAGGGAAGAACAUAUGUGUAAGUAACUGUGAACAUCUUGACGGUACCUAAUCAGAAAGCGACGGCUAACUACGUG